rnacentral:tRNA from 1 species
GACGGUUUGGCCGAGUGGUCUAAGGCGCCAGAUUUAGGCUCUGGUCUGAAAGGGCGUGGGUUCAAAUCCCACAGUUGUCA